GGAAAGGUGAAAAGAACCCCGGGAGGGGAGUGAAAGAGAACCUGAAACCCUGUGUUUACAAGCAGAGAAAGCACGGUUUAAAGUGCGAUCUCGUACCUUUUGUAGAAUGGACCGGCGAGUUACGUUAUGCAGCGAGGUUAAGGACUACAGGUCUGGAGCCGAAGUGAAAGCGAGCAUGAAUAGUGCGACAAGUUGCAUGACGUAGACCCGAAACCAGGUGACCUAUCCAUGGGCAGGUUGAAGUGGUGGUAGAACACCAUGGAGGACCGAACCAGACGUCUGUUGAAAAAGGCGGGGAUGACCUGUGGAUAGCGGAGAAAUUCCAAUCGAACUUGGAUAUAGCUGGUUCUCCUCGAAAUAGCUUUAGGGCUAGCCUCGUGUUAGUGAAUAGGAGGUAGAGCACUGAAUGAGCUAGGGGGCCACAAAGCUUACCGAACUCUAUCAAACUUCGAAUGCCUGUUAAACGAUGCACGGGAGUCAGACUGCGAGUUAUAAGAUCCGUAGUCAAAAGGGAAACAGCCCAGAUCGACAGCUAAGGCCCCUAAGUGAUGGUUAAGUGGAAAAGGAUGUGGAAUUGCACAGACAACCAGGAUGUUGGCUCAGAAGCAGCCAUUCAUUUAAAGAGUGCGUAAUAGCUCACUGGUCGAGUGAUUGUGCGCCGAAGAUUCAACGGGGCUAAAACCAUCCGCCGAAGCUUCGGGAUUAUCGAAAGAUGAUCGGUAGAGGAGCAUUGUAUAAGCGCAGAAGCUGGAGCGAAAGCACCAGUGGAGUUUAUAGAAGAGAGAAUGCCGGUAUGAGUAACGAGAUGUAAGCGAGAAACUUACACGUCGAAAGCCCAAGGAUUCCUGGGGAAGGUUCAUCCGCCCAGGGUAAGUCGGGGCCUAAGCCGAGGACGAUAGUCGUAGGCGAUGGAAAACAGGUUGAGAUUCCUGUACCGCCCAUAUGAGUGAUGCAUUGACACAGAAGGAUAGCAUGAGCCGGUUGAUGGUAGAGCCGGUCGAAGAGCGUAGGCUGCUUGGUAGUGAAGUACGCUGAGCGUAAGGCUGAAACUUGAUAGGGAGCGAAAAUAAGUAGCGAAGCAUGUGAAUCCCCGCUGGCGAGAAAAGAUGCUGGCAAUGAUAUGGGCGCCCGUACCGCAAACCGACGCAGGUGGGCGAGGAGAGAAUCCUAAGACGAACGAGAGAACUCUUGUUAAGGAACUCGGCAAAAUGACCACGUAACUUCGGGAGAAGUGGUGCCUCGAAAGAGGCCGCAGAGAAUAGGCCCAAGCGACUGUUUAGCAAAAACACAGGUGUUUGCGAAAGCGAGAGCUGAAGUAUAAGCGCUGACGCCUGCCCGGUGCUGGAAGGUUAAGAGGAGUUGUCAGGCAACGAAGCAGCGAAUCGAAGCCCCAGUAAACGGCGGCCGUAACUAUAACGGUCCUAAGGUAGCGAAAUUCCUUGUCGGGUAAGUUCCGACCCGCACGAAUGGCGUAACGACUUGGGUACUGUCUCAACAAGAGACUCGGUGAAAUUGAAGUAUGUGUGAAGAUGCACAUUACCCGCGACUGGACGGAAAGACCCCGUAGAGCUUUACUGUAGCUUAGCAUUGGAUUUCGAUAAUGGAUGUACAGGAUAGGUGGGAGACUGGGAGACUGUGGCGUCAGCUGCAGAGGAGUCGCUGUUGGGAUACCACUCUUCUGUUAUUGAAAUUCUAACAAGCAGCCGUGAACCGGCGCUUGGACCGUGCUAGGUAGGCAGUUUGACUGGGGCGGUCGCCUCCCAAAGAGUAACGGAGGCGCCCAAAGGUUCCCUCAGAAUGGAUGGAAACCAUUCGAAGAGUGCAAAGGCAGAAGGGAGCCUGACUGCGAGACGGACAGGUCGAGCAGAGAGGAAACUCGGGCUUAGUGAUCCGGCGGUAUUGAGUGGAAAAGCCGUCGCUCAACGGAUAAAAGCUACCUCGGGGAUAACAGGCUGAUCUCCCCCAAGAGUCCACAUCGACGGGGAGGUUUGGCACCUCGAUGUCGGCUCAUCGCAUCCUGGGGCUGUAUUCGGUCCCAAGGGUUUGGCUGUUCGCCAAUUAAAGCGGCACGCGAGCUGGGUUCAGAACGUCGUGAGACAGUUCGGUCCCUAUCCAUCGUGGGCGAAGGAAUCAUGAAAGGAGCUGUCCCUAGUACGAGAGGACCGGGAUGGACGCAUCACUGGUGAAACUGUUGUCGUGCCAACGGCAUAGCAGGGAAGCGAAAUGCGGACGGGAUAAACGCUGAAGGCAUCUAAGCGUGAAGCCCACCUUAAGAUAAAGAUUCCCACAGCGUAAGCUGGUAAGACCCCUUGAAGACGACAAGGUUGAUAGGUCAGCGCUGGAAGCGCGGUAACGCGUGGAGGUUGCUGAUACUAAUAGGUCGAGGGCUUGAUCU
rnacentral:rRNA from 1 species